rnacentral:tRNA from 1 species
AGGAUAAUAGUUAAUUAUAACAUUUAAUUUGCAUUUAAAAAGUAUUGUUUACCAAUUUAUCUUU